UACGUAGGGGGCAAGCGUUAUCCGGACUUACUGGGUGUAAAGGGCGUGCAGCCGGGAAUGCAAGUCAGAUGUGAAAUCCCGCGGCUCAACCGCGGAACUGCAUUUGAAACUGUGUUUCUUGAGUACUGGAGAGGCAGACGGAAUUCCUAGUGUAGCGGUGAAAUGCGUAGAUAUUAGGAGGAACACCAGUGGCGAAGGCGGUCUGCUGGACAGCAACUGACGGUGAGGCGCGAAAGCGUGGGGAGCAAACAGG
rnacentral:rRNA from 1 species